CAUGGACCUGAGAGGGCCCGGGAGCCUAGUGCUGGGAGCCCUCCUCUAGCUAACUGCACACCUGCGCCCGCCCGUAUCCCUCCCUGUUUUCAGCUCCACUUCUUCCCCUUCCCAUUUGGCCUGAACUUGGUCUGAUCCUUCUUUUGGGGUAAACCUUCCAUGUCUUUCUCCCAAACUACCAUCCAUGUGGAAUUUUAAAAUGUAACCCGGAGCCUCCUGCAUGCCAGGAAAGCACACGGCCCCAGAGCCAUGUCCCCAGCCCUCCGUAUAGAUUUUGGUGCAGACCUGUAAAGGGAUUUUUCUUAAGUCUCGGUACACACAGUGCUUAAAUGUUUCAGGGAUGAAUGAAUGAACAUAUCUUCAGCACUUUCCUCUGCCCCAUGUACACUUUGGGACCCUGUUUUUCCUGGCACUUAGUUUGUGUGGGUGUGUUUAAUGGUCCUGCGCCCUUGCUAGACUUUAUUCUGAUGAGUUGAGAAGCUGAUGUCUCUUCCAGUUGGAACCUUGGACCCCUACAUUUACCCCAGAGGAGACAGACAUUGAUGGCUGCUGAGAGCGGAGCCUUUAAUGAAAGAUUAGUUGCAGGCCUGGACUGCUACUCUUGCGCCCUUGGUGUGUAUCGAGGGAGGUGGGC